CCAUACACGUGCAACAUGUUUAUGAAUUUAUCUUCGACGAUGAAACGACAAACGGUUUUAAUUGCCGCCCCGGGCUACGUAGAGAUCGCCGCAAGUCUUAUAGGAUCUUCCGUUUCUUCUUUGCCUCGUUAUCUCGUGGUGAAGCCGCACCGAUAAGUGUUUCGACUUUAUCCAUCGUAAUAUCCAAAUAUUUUAUAAUUUUCUUAUAUUUUUAAUUGGAUAAAUUACAGGUUAUGUUGCAUAUUUAUAUUUAGAAGCAUUUUUUCAACGGAUAGAGAUGUAAGAUUCGUAAAAAGACGCAAAAGAGAAGUAAUCAUAGAGAUUCUGAUUCGAAGUCUCAAGGGUACUCGAAGACGAAAAUGGCAAAGAAAUCGCAAACGGCAAUCACGAACUAAGUACUAACCUAAUCAACCAAUCUUCGUUUUGUUCCUCUGUUUCACUGCUUCUCGAUUCUUUUACUCAAAGAAGCGAAAUGAUUCGCUACCCUCGAAUUAUCCUUUUUGUUACAAUUCUUCUUAUCAAAUGAAGUUUAAUAGUUUCAACUAUAGAUCGGUCCACUCUUUCCCGAUUGGAAUGACUUAUGGGUAUGCGGCGUGCUUUUGGUCUUCGCGAGUCUAUCGCGGGAUUAUAGUGAGCCAUGCAACUAUAAUAAUCAUCCUCAUGGCGAUUUUAUUUCUCUUCGAUAAUAUUGGAAUUUUGAUUAUGGAGUGAUUUUUGCGGACUUUUAAAUAAAAAAUAUAUCAAAAUGGAUCAAAAAUGGAUAAAAUAACUCUAGUACAAUUGGAUUAUAAUCUCCAAAACUUGUUCACAGAAAAAUACAAAACAAAUUUACCAUUGCUCUUCUCUAUUCUCUGCGCUCAACAUUCCAAUUAAUGUAAAUCGUAGUAAUAACGAUACUCCACUGGGAUCGCUUCGUGGAAAUUUCCUUGCAUUCCGAAAAUUGCUGGGUCCCCAAGUGAGCGAAAAUUGGAUCGUUUGUAUCAUUUGCGACUGUAACGUCGACAAAUGCCAUCCCAGGCUAUUAUAAACACGAUAGAAUGAGGUUUGGCAGAGAGUAGGCCAAUGAUCGGAUUAUCCUGGAAACUUCUUGGGCAGAGAAACACCCGUCAACUUAGUAUGUGCUGAGAAGCGUGUACCAUGCGCUCGUAUCGACAUAAGGCAUUGUUAGGAUUCCCAGGGGACAAACCGAGAUCAAACGCUGUUAGCACAAACUAUGCCCUCGAUUCUCACUUAAGUUCAUUUUACUACCAACCUCGUGUUGCUAAUGUACUAAUGCCUUUUACUUGAAUUUGUUUUUAUUCUUUAAUUCUAGUUAUUCUUAUUUAUUAAAUGAUAAUUCUGAUCUUAUUUAUUAGUAAUCAUUCCUAUUUUAUCGACAUUUAUUUAUUUUUAAUAAAAAGAUAUAAAAGAAGAUAUUUUAAUAAAAGAUAUUUGCUGAAUACAAUAAUUGUAUGACUUAAUAUAAAAUUCUAUUUCUAUUGAUAUUUAAUUAACAUUAGCAUAUAUUUAAAAAAAUUAAAAAUUUUGUUUCAGACAUAAGUAAUUCAAGUUGCCUUAUAAUAAUUAUAAUAAUAAUUAUAAAUAUAUUAGAUAUUGGAUUAAUCAUCAUUAUUAUAUCAACUUUUUUAUUUAUUUUGGAAAUUAAUCUUCAAGAAUAGAUUCUCCAAAAAUUUCUUAUGAAUAUAUUAACAUCCUAUAUACACAUGUAUCUGGUGCACACGAGGUUUGGUAUAUCGUAUCCGAAAAAAAGCAUUCGUGAAGCGGUGGCCCGACAAUGGCGGCCAGUAAUAAAUUAUAAAUCGAAAAAAGGAGGAACAACAGCAACAAGAAGCGGCAACCGCGGCGAGUUACGGUUUCGCGUUAAAUAUGAAAUAUUGCUAUCCAUGCUCGAAAGUGCGCAUGUAUACAAGGUAGAAUGUAUAUAUGUAUACAUAUAAAAGUAGUACAGUAUUAAGUAGCUGUUUAACAUAUUUUAAUUGCCAAACUAAAAUUUGAAAUACCACUAUAUGCUAGUUAUAACUUUUCUAAUAUCUAUUAUAAAUCUUUGUAAAUCAUUUGUCUAUAAAAGUGGAAAUUUGAAAUAAAAGAUUAUUAUUAUUUAUUUCUUA